rnacentral:rRNA from 1 species
CUAAGAAUAGUCCGCAAUGGGGGAAACCCUGACGGUGCGACGCCGCGUGAACGAUGAAGGCCUGACGGUUGUAAAGUUCUUUUCUCGAUGAAGAAUAAGGACAGGAGUGGAACGCCUGUCCGAUGACGUUAGUCGAGGAAUAAGUCCCGGCUAAUUACGUGCCAGCAGCCGCGGUAAUACGUAUGGGACGAGCGUUGUUCGGAAUUAUUGGGCGUAAAGGGCGCGUAGGCGGUUUCGUAAGCCUGGUGUGAAAGGCUCCGGCCCAACCGGAGUUGUGCGCUAGGAACUGCGAGACUCGAGUUCUUGAGGGGAAGCUGGAAUUCCUGGUGUAGGGGUGAAAUCUGUAGAUAUCAGGAAGAACACCGGUGGCGAAGGCGAGCUUCUGGCAAGUAACUGACGCUGAGGCGCGAAAGCGUGGGGAGCGAACAGGAUUAGAUACCCCCGUAGUCC